GGUCAUGAGCGCCAGCAUUGAGCCCCGGCUUGCUGGCCGGCAACCCUCGUUCCGCGGUGGGGUGCCCCGGGUGAGGACCUGGCCUCCGGCAACCGCCGGUCGGCAAGCGCGGCAC
rnacentral:ncRNA from 2 species